rnacentral:rRNA from 1 species
UACGAGUGCCUCAAGCGUUAUCCGGAAUCAUUGGGCGUAAAGGGUGUGUAGGUGGUCGCAUUAGUCUUUUGUUAAAUUUCCCGGCUUAACCUGGAACAUGCGAAGGAAACGGUGCGACUAGAGGAUGCAAGGGGUCUGCGGAACUCAUAGUGUAGCGGUGAAAUGCGUUGAUAUUAUGGGGAACACCAAAAGCGAAGGCAGCAGACUAGGGCACUCCUGACACUGAAACACGAAAGCGUGGGUAGCGAAUGGG